UACAGAGGGUGCAAGCGUUAAUCGGAAUUACUGGGCGUAAAGCGCGCGUAGGUGGUUCGUUAAGUUGGAUGUGAAAUCCCCGGGCUCAACCUGGGAACUGCAUUCAAAACUGUCGAGCUAGAGUAUGGUAGAGGGUGGUGGAAUUUCCUGUGUAGCGGUGAAAUGCGUAGAUAUAGGAAGGAACACCAGUGGCGAAGGCGACCACCUGGACUGAUACUGACACUGAGGUGCGAAAGCGUGGGGAGCAAACAGGG
rnacentral:rRNA from 1 species